UGAAAUUGGCAGUGGUGAGCAGUGAUCUGGAGGCAGUCGCGCUGCGCACGUCAACGAUGCUUUUCAUAUUCAGGCACCUCUUUUGCGCUCUCCUGGCUUUUUCAUUCAUCCUCGCUGUCGUCACGGCCGCGCCUGUUGGAGAUGAUCCACAAACGGACACUACAGAGGAACCCGCGGAUGACCUGGAAGUAGUCAAGUUCUCUAUCGUUAGUUCCCUGACUCAGAGGAAAUGCCCUGGAGGACAAAAGAUAAAUACACGAGGGAGGUGCAAAUAAUAAGCCUAAAUCAAACACAGAUUGCCAAUAAAGAAAGGACACAUGUGAAACCUGCGAGUUAGGCAACCUGCUUUUGAUUUAUUUACACCGAUUUAUAUUUUUCCCCUCCAUAAAAUUUAUUUUAUCACUUCUUAGCAUUAAGAAGAAUUUAUGGACAAACCAGCCUACCUUUUUUUUAUUAACAACAACUCCUCUUUCGGCCUUCUUGCUAAAAUAAAAACCCGUCAGUAUUCAGGAGGCUGUCGCGCAGUUGACAUCAACGAUGCUCUUCAGACACUUCUUGGUUUGUUUCUUUCUGGCUUUUUCCUUCGUCGUCGGCGUCGUCACGGCGUUGCCCAGUGAAGAUGAUUCGACAUCGUCAGAGGAGGAGUUCGAACCAAGUCAAUUCACUCUUACACGCACAAAAGCGUUGAAACCACCGUGCCCGUAUGGACAAAAAUUGGGACGCAACAAGAAGUGCUACAAACCUCUGUAAUCUUUGUUAAAAAGUUAAGAAAAAUUAUAAUUUUUUUAAUCUAACACUGCUAUUGUUUGCUUUCAAGCCGUUAACAUGCAUUCUUUUAACUUCGUGUAUGUUUAUUUUAAUGUAAGUUCUGUGCUAAUUGUUUGUACAAAUAUUUUUACAAGUGCCAGGAGAAACAUUUGAUAAAAAUAAAUUUAAGAAUGAUUUAAAAUCAAAUUGUAUUCUUUACUAAAUAACCCGCCUAAUUUUAAGUAAUCAGACAAUAUAAAAUCAAAAAUUUUAAUUGGAUUUCACUUAAGAUCCAUUUUUAACAUUUUCAUCAAAGAAACAAUGUUGAGGAAAGGAGUUUUAUUUUUAUACAACCUGAACUAUUUAAUCCGCACUCCUUCUAAGGAAAACCAGAAUUAUACAGCAGCCGAAUUUGCAUAUUUUUGCGCUCUCAAAUACCAUCGCUGCCGCACGAAUUCUCUCCUUUGACUUUUUUCCUCAUUAAAACCGAGCAGUCGUCUGAAAGCAGUCGCACUGCGCGCAUCAACAUGAAAUUCAGGCACUUGUUCUCUCUUCUCCUGGCUUUCGCCUUCAUCCUCAGUGCUGUCACGGCGAUUCCAGUCGAAGAUGAUCCGGAAAAUGACACCUUGGGAAGCGAUCAAGAGGAUCAAGAGAUCUUGGAAGCAUCUCAGUUCAGUUUCAUUCGAACAGCGGUGAAAGGUCAGAAAAUAGGAUGCACAUCAGGAUUGAGAAGGUGUCGUCCAUAAGACGAGCUUGCAAUUGAAAAAAGGACAGAUUCUGGACAACUAUGGAUAAACAAAAGCACCUGUAAAGUUUGUGAGACGACCAGCUUAUCGUAUUGUUUAAAUAUUUUUGUAAUAUUUUAACUGUCAUAAUAAUAAUUAUAUAAUAAAUUUCAACAUUUA